CGUGUAGGCGGUUGGUCAAGUCCGGUGUGAAAGCCCGAGGCUUAGCUUCGGAAGUGCAUCGGAAACUAGCCGACUGGAGCGCGAUAGAGGAGGGUGGAAUUCCUGGUGUAGCGGUGAAAUGCGUAGAUAUCAGGAGGAACACCGGCGGCGAAGGCGGCCCUCUGGAUCGUUGCUGACGCUGAGACGCGAAAGCGUGGGGAGCAAACAGGAUUAGAUACCCUGGUAGUCCACGCUGUAAACUAUGGGUACUAGGUGUUCGGGGUAUUGACCCCCUGAGUGCCGCAGUUAACGCAUUAAGUACCCCGCCUGGGGACUACGGCCGCGAAGGUUAAA
rnacentral:rRNA from 1 species